rnacentral:lncRNA from 1 species
CUCAGAGGCUGCUGCAGAUAGGGACAUGGUUCCUGGAGUCUUGGCUGCUUAUCAAGAUGGUGACAGUCCUUGGGGUCAGCAUGUCAUGCUGCUUCUAAAGGAAUGCAGGAUGCUGAAGUUCAGGGUUUGGGGAGGCUUCCACUGAUAUUUAGAAGUAUGUCUGCCCUCCUUUGGGGGCUGGUGCUGUGGUGCUGCACCUGCAGGACCUGGUGAGCAUCCUGCUCAGGAAAGUGGGCAGCAGCUCCAGGACACACACAGGGCAUGUGCAGGUGACAUCCAUACAAUCAACACAAAGUGAAAACACACAGAGUCUGUCCAUGGACUGGGAGAUGAGAGGGGAGUCUGAGGCCCUUCAUGCAGUUGGAGGAGGUGAUGGUGCCUCUUCCCAGGAACAUAGUUCUCUGGGAGCAGUUAUCAUGUUAUGCAUGUGAGAUACUGAGCUUGUGACUUCUAAAGUUCCUUGGCCAGGACAGCUGGCAUUUUCUUGCAUUUUCACUGAUGAAAAAACCAUAGCAAAGUGACUUGAAUGGAUUCUGGAGGUUUUACAAGACAACUCCCUCGGUGGUUGACUAUUAAAGAAAGCCAUGUCCAGGUGUGUUGAGCUAGAACUGUAUUCACACUCUUUCCCAUUCAGGGUCAGACACCAGGAGGCAGGAUUGUGACAGGAUUUUUUCUUUUGAAAGGUAGGACAGAUCACUCAGAUGUCAGCUCCAUGGAAUGGUCCUGGAAAAGCUGCCCUUCCACAAAUUCCCACCUCUUGGGAACCUUGGGCUCUCUAUCUGUGGAGAAGCAGGAAUGGCAGAGAGAGCCUCCUUGUGCUGCACACAAAGCAAAAAAGCCGCGGUUGCAUCCACAUCCCAGGUUCAGAAUGUGGGAGAUCCUCCCUCUUACCCUGGCUUAAAAGUGAACAGGACCUGGGAGCAAUUUCUGGAACCAUUUGACAGUGUCAGUGCUUGGAAAGAUCUAACUACUUACUGUUGAAGUCAAAAUGAGAAGGAUAUAAAUAUCUGGGAAUCAAACUACACUGAGGGAUUCACCUUUAACUGCCUCUGCUUGGGAUCUUAUGGCUCUUCUGGAGACUCCAUCCUCAUCUGAUAAAUAGGGAAAUAACAACAAGUGUCCCCAUCCUCUCUAAUCACUCACAUUUCUUCCAGGGAAGCAAAGAGGGCCUAGGAGACCAUGAAUCUUUCACACCUGAAUGAACCUUGGUUUCCACUCACACAACCUUUCCAGGUGCAGUGGGAAGAGAAAAGUGCAAAGGAUCUGACUGGGUGCCUUGAGGGAACCUGCUGUACCCCAGGGGGAGGGUGGCAGAGGCAACUGUGAGGUUUCUGAUGGGGAUGGAACCACUGUGGUAACCUGCAUGGCCUUGCAGACAGUCACACACUGCUGCCUCCACAGGCUCCUGGCUGUGAUGGGAGGGUGAAGUCUGUCCCUGACCCACUGCCACUGAACUGGGCUGGGAUGCCACUGGCCCUGCUGGAUGCAUCAUACAUGAGGCAUCUUGGAGCCUGCCCAGUCCUCUGCUGGUUGCAGGAAAGGAGCUGUCAACACUCUGAAUGGCCCUGCAGGUGAGGGUGGCUUUUUCCCCUGAGACAAAGCCAUGAGUGUGGAGUCUGUGUCAGCACAAUUUCUCCUGUGAUCCCUGAGAUGGAAAGAGAACAGAAAGGUCACCUAUGCAGUCUAGGUCAUACCCCAGUCUCCUCAGUAGAACCAGGAUCCUGCAGCACCCAGAGCUUGAAUCACUGGGCUUGCUAAACAGAGGUGCCAGGACACAGGACCCAACCACAAUGAAAGAGUUUUCACAGGUGUGUAGAACCAUCCCAUGAUACCUCACCUGGGACCCAGAGUAACAGGAGGCAGAGGAGCUGACUGGGGGCUGCCAUGGCUCCCUCUGGGUCCCACCUGAGUCAGAACUUCCCAGAACCCUGCUCACUAUGUCCCAGCAACAUGAGGUCAUCCACGUUUCUGAGCUUUACUAAAUGAGCAACUUUAGCCACCAGGGAAAACUUGUAAGGGACACUAUAUGUAUAUCUAUUGAAAGGAAAGGGGAAUGUAUCUGCGAAAAUGUUUUUUCUAAUUUGAAAAGUGACAGAUGGCAGAGAUGACAACAUCAUGAAGUGACCUGGUUCAACUCUGCUGGGGUGGGAGAGGCUUCAAUAUCAGCUGUGCCUUCAAAGCUCAGAAACAGAGUAUGGUAUAACAAAGUGUCUCUGUUCAGACAGAUACAGGGACCAGCUACAGGGCCCAGUCAUGGAGCACACUCUACCUGCCACAGACCUCUGGCUGAACUUGUAGUCUUCUGGAAUCCAUAGCAGCUCAUGCCUCAGACAAGAUAACUCUUUUGCUCUAGGUCACAGCCUGAAGUAACUGUGGUCAUGUGGACACCAGGCAGCACUGCCCCAUGUGACUCUGCAUGGAUGGCCUCAUGUUGCUUGGACAGGAU